rnacentral:tRNA from 1 species
GGGGAUAGAGCUCAGUGGUAGAGCUCAUGCUUAGCAUGUACAGGGUCCUGGGUUCAAUCCCCAGCACCUCCA